GCACGCGCACCAUGGCGGAGCCGAGUUCGCCGGUUGCGCGUCGCCCACUGGAUUGCUGGAUUCCAGGGACCCCUACGCCCUCCUGCUUCUUUCAGGUGCCCAGGUUUUCUCCUGGGCAUGAAGCCAUUGGGCUAUGAUGUGUGAGGUGCACAAAGCAAAAAAAGGGGGAGGGGCCCCCUCCAUUCCUCUAAUCUGGGAGGGACUACUAAUAUGGCUACAUGAUGGCCGGCCCCAUCAACCGAGCGUAGAGAAGCUUUGACAAAGAAAAA